UUUUACUCUGCAACAUUAGAAAUAGAAGUUGUUUAAAAAGUUCACUGUAAUCUUGCCAGAACUCUACCCUGUGUAGUCCAGACUGGACAGUACGACGGAAUGCACACCUACAGUACAUGUUGUACCGGCUCGGAUAAUGUUACGAUUGGAGCAAUAUGUACUUCAAACGAAGAUUUUUCUUGGAGUCUAAUUCCAUGUGGAACUCCAGAAGCAUCGAGAGCAGAGAUAACUAGCAGCCAAAUAAUCUUUCUUUAAACUUUAAAGUAUGUUGUAAAUGA